AUUGAACGCUGGCGGCAUGCUUUACACAUGCAAGUCGAACGGUAACAGGCCUUCGGGUGCUGACGAGUGGCGAACGGGUGAGUAAUGCAUCGGAACGUGCCCAGAGGUGGGGGAUAACGCAGCGAAAGCUGUGCUAAUACCGCAUGUGAUCUGAGGAUGGAAGCGGGGGACCAGGCAGCAAUGUUUGGCCUCGCGCCUUUGGAGCGGCCGAUGUCAGAUUAGGUAGUUGGUGGGGUAAAGGCCUACCAAGCCGACGAUCUGUAGCUGGUCUGAGAGGACGACCAGCCACACUGGGACUGAGACACGGCCCAGACUCCUACGGGAGGCAGCAGUGGGGAAUUUUGGACAAUGGGCGCAAGCCUGAUCCAGCAAUGCCGCGUGCGGGAAGAAGGCCUUCGGGUUGUAAACCGCUUUUGUACGGAACGAAAAGGCUCUGGCUAAUACCUGGGGCUGAUGACGGUACCGUAAGAAUAAGCACCGGCUAACUACGUG
rnacentral:rRNA from 1 species